GGGCCCGCACAAGCGGUGGAGCAUGUGGUUUAAUUCGAUGAUACGCGAGGAACCUUACCAGGGCUUAAAUGCAUAAUGACAGGGGUAGAGAUACCCUUUUCUUCGGACAUUUUGCAAGGUGCUGCAUGGUUGUCGUCAGCUCGUGCCGUGAGGUGUCAGGUUAAGUCCUAUAACGAGCGCAACCCCUGUGGUUAGUUGCCAGCGAGUAAUGUCGGGAACUCUAGCCAGACUGCCGGUGCAAACCGCGAGGAAGGUGGGGAUGACGUCAAAUCAUCACGGCCCUUACGCCCUGGGCCACACACGUGCUACAAUGGCAGGUACAGCAAGCAGCCACUCCGCGAGGAGGAGCGAAUCUGUAAAGCCUGUCACAGUUCGGAUAGGAGUCUGCAACUCGACUCCUUGAAGUUGGAGUCGCUAGUAAUCG
rnacentral:rRNA from 1 species